GCAUCGGUGGUUUAGUGGUAAAAUUAGCCGUUGCCAAGGAAAUCAGCAAUGACUACCAGCCGUCGGCUAGCCCCGGGUUCGAUUCCCGGCCGAUGCA